rnacentral:rRNA from 1 species
GGGUUGUGAGGUUAAGCGACUAAGCGUACACGGUGGAUGCCCUGGCAGUCAGAGGCGAUGAAGGACGUGCUAAUCUGCGAAAAGCGUCGGUAAGGUGAUAUGAACCGUUACAGCCGGCGAUGUCCGAAUGGGGAAACCCAGUGUGAUUCGUCACACUAUCGUUAACUGAAUACAUAGGUUAACGAGGCGAACCGGGGGAACUGAAACAUCUAAGUACCCCGAGGAAAAGAAAUCAACCGAGAUUCCCCCAGUAGCGGCGAGCGAACGGGGAGCAGCCCAGAGUCUGAAUCAGCUUGUGUGUUAGUGGAACGGUCUGGAAAGUCCGACGGUACAGGGUGAUAGUCCCGUACACCAAAAUGCACAGGCUGUGAACUCGAAGAGUAGGGCGGGACACGUGGUAUCCUGUCUGAAUAUGGGGGGACCAUCCUCCAAGGCUAAAUACUCCUGACUGACCGAUAGUGAACCAGUACCGUGAGGGAAAGGCGAAAAGAACCCCGGCGAGGGGAGUGAAAAAGAACCUGAAACCGUGUACGUACAAGCAGUGGGAGCACCUUCGGGUGUGACUGCGUACCUUUUGUAUAAUGGGUCAGCGACUUAUAUUCUGUAGCAAGGUUAACCGUAUAGGGGAGCCGCAGGGAAACCGAGUCUUAACUGGGCGUUAAGUUGCAGGGUAUAGACCCGAAACCCGGUGAUCUAGCCAUGGGCAGGUUGAAGGUUGGGUAACACUAACUGGAGGACCGAACCGACUAAUGUUGAAAAAUUAGCGGAUGACUUGUGGCUGGGGGUGAAAGGCCAAUCAAACCGGGAGAUAGCUGGUUCUCCCCGAAAGCUAUUUAGGUAGCGCCUCGUGAACUCAUCUUCGGGGGUAGAGCACUGUUUCGGCUAGGGGGUCAUCCCGACUUACCAACCCGAUGCAAACUACGAAUACCGAAGAAUGUUAUCACGGGAGACACACGGCGGGUGCUAACGUCCGUCGUGAAGAGGGAAACAACCCAGACCGCCAGCUAAGGUCCCAAAGUCAUGGUUAAGUGGGAAACGAUGUGGGAAGGCACAGACAGCCAGGAUGUUGGCUUAGAAGCAGCCAUCAUUUAAAGAAAGCGUAAUAGCUCACUGGUCGAGUCGGCCUGCGCGGAAGAUGUAACGGGGCUAAACCAUGCACCGAAGCUGCGGCAGCGACACUAUGUGUUGUUGGGUAGGGGAGCGUUCUGUAAGCCUGCGAAGGUGUGCUGUGAGGCAUGCUGGAGGUAUCAGAAGUGCGAAUGCUGACAUAAGUAACGAUAAAGCGGGUGAAAAGCCCGCUCGCCGGAAGACCAAGGGUUCCUGUCCAACGUUAAUCGGGGCAGGGUGAGUCGACCCCUAAGGCGAGGCCGAAAGGCGUAGUCGAUGGGAAACAGGUUAAUAUUCCUGUACUUGGUGUUACUGCGAAGGGGGGACGGAGAAGGCUAUGUUAGCCGGGCGACGGUUGUCCCGGUUUAAGCAUGUAGGCUGGUUAUCCAGGCAAAUCCGGAUAAUCAAGGCUGAGGUGUGAUGACGAGGCACUACGGUGCUGAAGUAACAAAUGCCCUGCUUCCAGGAAAAGCCUCUAAGCAUCAGGUAACAUCAAAUCGUACCCCAAACCGACACAGGUGGUCAGGUAGAGAAUACCAAGGCGCUUGAGAGAACUCGGGUGAAGGAACUAGGCAAAAUGGUGCCGUAACUUCGGGAGAAGGCACGCUGGUGUGUAGGUGAAGUCCCUGCGGAUGGAGCUGAGACCAGUCGAAGAUACCAGCUGGCUGCAACUGUUUAUUAAAAACACAGCACUGUGCAAACACGAAAGUGGACGUAUACGGUGUGACGCCUGCCCGGUGCCGGAAGGUUAAUUGAUGGGGUUAUCCGUAAGGAGAAGCUCUUGAUCGAAGCCCCGGUAAACGGCGGCCGUAACUAUAACGGUCCUAAGGUAGCGAAAUUCCUUGUCGGGUAAGUUCCGACCUGCACGAAUGGCGUAAUGAUGGCCAGGCUGUCUCCACCCGAGACUCAGUGAAAUUGAACUCGCUGUGAAGAUGCAGUGUACCCGCGGCAAGACGGAAAGACCCCGUGAACCUUUACUAUAGCUUGACACUGAACAUUGAGCCUUGAUGUGUAGGAUAGGUGGGAGGCUUUGAAGCGUGGACGCCAGUCUGCGUGGAGCCAACCUUGAAAUACCACCCUUUAAUGUUUGAUGUUCUAACGUUGGCCCCUGACCGGGGUUGCGGACAGUGUCUGGUGGGUAGUUUGACUGGGGCGGUCUCCUCCCAAAGCGUAACGGAGGAGCACGAAGGUUAGCUAAUCCUGGUCGGACAUCAGGAGGUUAGUGCAAUGGCAUAAGCUAGCUUGACUGCGAGCGUGACGGCGCGAGCAGGUGCGAAAGCAGGUCAUAGUGAUCCGGUGGUUCUGAAUGGAAGGGCCAUCGCUCAACGGAUAAAAGGUACUCCGGGGAUAACAGGCUGAUACCGCCCAAGAGUUCAUAUCGACGGCGGUGUUUGGCACCUCGAUGUCGGCUCAUCACAUCCUGGGGCUGAAGUAGGUCCCAAGGGUAUGGCUGUUCGCCAUUUAAAGUGGUACGCGAGCUGGGUUUAGAACGUCGUGAGACAGUUCGGUCCCUAUCUGCCGUGGGCGCUGGAGAAUUGAGGGGGGCUGCUCCUAGUACGAGAGGACCGGAGUGGACGCAUCACUGGUGUUCGGGUUGUCAUGCCAAUGGCACUGCCCGGUAGCUAAAUGCGGAAGAGAUAAGUGCUGAAAGCAUCUAAGCACGAAACUUGCCCCGAGAUGAGUUCUCCCUGAGACU